rnacentral:rRNA from 1 species
UACAGAGGGGGCAAGCGUUGUUCGGAAUUACUGGGCGUAAAGGGCGCGUAGGCGGCCCGCUAAGUCGAAACGUGAAAUCCCCGAGCUCAACUCGGGAACUGCGUCCGAUACUGGCGGGCUUGAAUCCGGGAGAGGGAUGCGGAAUUCCAGGUGUAGCGGUGAAAUGACGUAGAUAUCGGAAGGAACACCGGUGGCGAAAGCGGCGCGCUGGACCUCUUCUGACGCUGAGGCGCGAAAGCCAGGGGAGCAAAGCGGG